GCCCCUAAAGCUAGCCCAACUAACUCAAACAACAACCAAAAUUAAUAACCCAAAAGGCACAAACACCACUUAAGCAAAACAUUUUACCGCCUUAGUAUGGGAGACAGAAAAGGUUCAAAGGCGCAACAGAAAUAGUACCGCAAGGGAAAGUUGAAAGAGAGAUGAAAAAGCCCACCAAAGGCAUAAAAAGCAGAGACUAGUCCUCGUACCUUUUGCAUCAUGAAUUAGCCAGUACCCCCAGGCAAAGAGUCCCUUAAGUCUGAGCCCCCGAAACUAUGCGAGCUACUCCAAGACAGCCUAUUAUAGGGCACACCCGUCUCUGUGGCAAAAGAGUGGGAAGAGCUUUGAGUAGAGGUGACAGACCUACCGAGCCUAGUUAUAGCUGGUUGCCUAAGAAAUGAAUAGAAGUUCACCCUCUUAACUUCUUCUACCAAAAAGAUAAACCACCCUAAGGCCAAGAGAACAUUAAGAGAGAUAUUCAAAGGGGGGACAGCCCCUUUGAAAAAAGACACAACUUUAACAGAAGGCUAAAGAUCAAAGAAUACAAGGAAACAUAACCAGGUGGGCCUAAAAGCAGCCACCCUUGUAGAAAGCGUUAAAGCUUAAAUAUGCUAUACCUAUGAUACCGACAAGUACAUCCAAAGCCCCUCCAUUUACUAGGCCCUCCUAUGCAACCAUAGGAGAGAUACUGCUAAUAUGAGUAAUAAGAGGGCCCAGGCUCUCUCCUUGCAGAUGUGUAUAUCAGACCGGACAUCCCCCUGAAAAUUAACGCCCCCAACAACAGAGGGUAGUGGGUAAUAAUAGACAAGUCUAGAAACCCUCCCAACCACCAGCGUUAACCCUACACAGGCCUGCCCCAGGAAAGACAAAAAGAAAAAGAAGGAACUCGGCAAACAUUGGCCUCGCCUGUUUACCAAAAACAUCGCCUCUUGCUCCAACAGUAUAAGAGGUCCCGCCUGCCCUGUGACAACAGUUUAACGGCCGCGGUAUUUUGACCGUGCAAAGGUAGCGUAAUCACUUGUCUUUUAAAUAGAGACCUGUAUGAAUGGCAUAACGAGGGCUAUGCUGUCUCCUUUUUCCUGUCAAUGAAAUUGAUCUGCCCGUGCAGAAGCGGGCAUCAGAACAUAAGACGAGAAGACCCUAUGGAGCUUUAGACACCAGAGCAGACCGUGUUAAUAACCCCCUCAUAAGGGAAAAAACAAGACUGACCCUGCUUAUUUGUCUUUGGUUGGGGCGACCGCGGAGAACAAUAAAACCCCCGCGUGGAAUGGGGAUCCCUAAAACAAGGCCCACAGGCCUAGUAUCCAGAAAAUCUGACCAAAAGAUCCGGCUACGCCGAUCAACGGAUCCAGUUACCCUAGGGAUAACAGCGCAAUCCCCUUUUAGAGCCCACAUCGACAAGGGGGUUUACGACCUCGAUGUUGGAUCAGGACCUCCUAAUGGUGCAGCCGCUAUUAAGGGUUC
rnacentral:rRNA from 1 species